CUACGUGCCAGCAGCCGCGGUAAUACGGAAGGUCCAGGCGUUAUCCGGAUUUAUUGGGUUUAAAGGGAGCGUAGGCUGGAGAUUAAGUGUGUUGUGAAAUGUAGACGCUCAACGUCUGAAUUGCAGCGCAUACUGGUUUCCUUGAGUACGCACAACGUUGGCGGAAUUCGUCGUGUAGCGGUGAAAUGCUUAGAUAUGACGAAGAACUCCGAUUGCGAAGGCAGCUUGCGGGAGCGUUACUGACGCUUAAGCUCGAAGGUGCGGGUAUCGAACAGGAUUAGAUACCCUGGUAGUCCGCACAGUAAACGAUGGAUGCCCGCUGUUAGCGCCUGGCGUUAGCGGCUAAGCGAAAGCAUUAAGCAUCCCACCUGGGGAGUACGCCGGCAACGGUGAAACUCAAAGGAAUUGACGGGGACCCGCACAAGUAGCGGAGCAUGUGGUUUAAUUCGAAGCAACGCGAAGAACCUUACCUAAGCUUGACAUCCC
rnacentral:rRNA from 1 species